rnacentral:lncRNA from 1 species
CUCAGAGUUUUAGUGAGAGGAGUCCUAUCCCAGCUAGAUGCCAUUAGGACUCAGCUCUAGUCCAGACCUUCUGUAUCCAGUGAGCUCACUUUUGUUCAGCCUAUCGCCUUCCAUCCUUCGAUAUCUUCCACUCAGACCAGACCAUCCAGUCGAGGUCGAGAUUGAUUCUGUUUCAGUUGUUUUGAUCUUUAGCUCGAUGCCCAUGCUCUCUGAUCAGUUUUAGGUUACAUACUACUUAGUUGUUGUAUUUUGUUUUAGUAGUUGAAUGAAUAUGAGCCCUAUGCUCAUAGAUAUAUAUUAUGACUUGAUCAUUGUAAUGAAUGAAUGUACUUGACUCUUAUAACC